UACGGAGGGGGCAAGCGUUAUUCGGACUUAUUGGGCGUAAAGGGCGCGUAGGCGGCUAGAUGUGUCAAAGGUGAAAUCCCUCGGCUCAACUGAGGAACUGCCUUUGAAACUGUCUGGCUUGAGGCCGGGAGAGGGUAGCGGAAUUCCCAGUGUAGCGGUGAAAUGCGUAGAUAUUGGGAGGAACACCAGUGGCGAAGGCGGCUACCUGGACCGGUUCUGACGCUGAGGCGCGAAAGCGUGGGUAGCAAACAGG
rnacentral:rRNA from 1 species